GACGAACGCUGGCGGCGUGCCUAAUACAUGCAAGUUGAGCGCUGAAGGUUGGUACUUGUACCAACUGGAUGAGCAGCGAACGGGUGAGUAACGCGUGGGGAAUCUGCCUUUGAGCGGGGGACAACAUUUGGAAACGAAUGCUAAUACCGCAUAAAAACUUUAAACACAAGUUUUAAGUUUGAAAGAUGCAAUUGCAUCACUCAAAGAUGAUCCCGCGUUGUAUUAGCUAGUUGGUGAGGUAAAGGCUCACCAAGGCGAUGAUACAUAGCCGACCUGAGAGGGUGAUCGGCCACAUUGGGACUGAGACACGGCCCAAACUCCUACGGGAGGCAGCAGUAGGGAUUCUUCGGCAAUGGACGAAAGUCUGACCGAGCAACGCCGCGUGAGUGAAGAAGGUUUUCGGAUCGUAAAACUCUGUUGGUAGAGAAGAACGUUGGUGAGAGUGGAAAGCUCAUCAAGUGACGGUAACUACCCAGAAAGGGACGGCUAACUACGUG
rnacentral:rRNA from 1 species